GACGAACGCUGGCGGCGUGCUUAACACAUGCAAGUCGAACGAAGUGGCGAACGGGUGAGUAACGCGUCAGCAACAUGCCCUUCAGAGGGGGACUACAGUUGGAAACGACUGCUUAUACCGCAUACUGAAGUAGGGGAUUUCGUCUGAUUAGCUAGUUGGAGGGGUAAGGGCCCACCAAGGCGAUGAUCAGUAGCCGGUCUGAGAGGAUGAACGGCCACAUUGGGACUGGGACACGGCCCAGACUCCUACGGGAGGCAGCAGGGGGGAAUCUUCCGCAAUGGACGAAAGUCUGACUGAGCAACGCCGCGGGAGUGAUGACGGCCUUCGGGUUGUAAAGCUCUGUUAAUCGGGACGCGUUACCGGAAUAGAAAGCCACGGCUAACUACGUGCCAGCAGCCGCGGUAAUAC
rnacentral:rRNA from 1 species